UAUAUAUGUGGCUAAAAUACCAACAUAGCGAGAUAAAAGCUGUCAUUUUAAAUUGAAUGUUUGUGUCAAGCGUUAUUGUUUUCAUUUUCAAACGUAGAACGGAGCGAUUCGGCACUUGCUAACAUUUAUUUUGAAAGCGUUCCCGCUAUUUUUUCCGGUUGUGUACCGACUGGUCUCGUCCGCUUCGACGCGCGGCUGUCCGGCUCUGGCGAGUCUGACACCAACCGACGUUUGUCCGCUUGAAGCUCUGCUUAAAGCUGCCCCUUGCGCCACUAUGGCCCCGCCGCAGAGCUGAGGCGGCCCCGCUUUCAACGCUCAUCUUUCGCAUAGCUAUCUCUCCAGAGGCCGCAAUGAGCUCGGAGGACGCCGACGAGCCGCGGGACAGGCCCGGUAGCAGCAGCAGUAGCGGCGGCGGCGGCGACAAAGAGCCCGACAUGGACGGCUCGGACCGCGACGGAGACCUCGCCCGGAGCUGCCCUCCCUCCCCGUCGGCAACUAGCGCGACCUCAGAAGAGCGUGGAGAGCCCGCCGCCGGGCCUCGACCGGCUGACGGCGGCGGGGGUUCGGGCUGCGACGCCGGCCGGCCGAGGAGUCUAUUCUCCUGGCUUCAGAACAGGUCCAUCAGGCGGGGCGUGUUCGUGGACCCGGUGCGGGACAACUUUCGGAUCAUGACCAGCUUGUACAGCUCCAUGAACCCGGCGGCUGACUCGGUCAACCUGAGUACCAAGACCCACGGAGCCGUAUUCAACCUGGAGUACUCUCCAGACGGGUCUGUGCUGACGGUGGCCUGCGAGCAGACCGAGGUCCUGCUCUUCGACCCCGUCUCGUCCCGACACAUCAAAACCUUGACAGAGGCCCACGAGGAUUGUGUCAACAACAUAAGGUUCCUGGACAACCGUCUUUUCGCCACGUGCUCGGACGACACCACCAUCGCGCUGUGGGACCUGCGCAAGCUCAACUCCAAGGUGUGCUCGCUGCACGGCCACGCCAGCUGGGUGAAGAACAUCGAGUACGACACCAACACGCGCCUGCUCGUCACCUCCGGCUUCGACGGCAACGUCAUCACGUGGGACACCAACAGAUUCACGGAGGACGGCUGCCCGCACAAGAAGUUCUUCCAUACGCGCUACCUGAUGAGGAUGCGGCUGACGCCCGACUGCUCCAAGAUGCUCAUCUCCACGUCGUCGGGCUACCUGCUCAUCCUGCACGACCUGGACCUCACGCAGUCGCUGGAGGUGGGCAGCUACCGCAUGCUGCGAGCCAGGCGCACCCCCCUCACGUCAGACGGAGGCGCGCUGGCGUCCCGCUCGGCCGGACCUCGCCACGGAAACGACUCCGGCAAGCUGCACCCUCACAGAGAAGGCCUUUCUCCCAGGAACAGCCUGGAGGUUCUGACCCCGGAGAUCCCGGGCGAGCGGGACCGAGGCAGCUGCAUCACGUCGCUGCAGCUGCACCCCAAAGGCUGGGCCACGCUCAUCCGCUGCUCCAGCAACAUGGAUGACCGCGAGUGGACGUGCGUGUACGAGUUCCAGGAGGGCGCGCCCACCCGUCCGCCGGUGUCGCCGCGCUGCUCCCUGCGCCUGACGCACUACAUCGAGGAGGCCAACGUGGGCCGGGGCUACAUCAAGGAGUUGUGCUUCAGCCCGGACGGCCGCCUCAUCUGCUCGCCGUACGGCUACGGCGUGCGUCUGCUGGCCUUCGACGAGAGCUGCGGCGAGCUGGCCGACUGCGUGCCCGUGCAGACCGGCUGCCUGCGCGAGGUGCGCGCCAUCUACUCGCACAGCGACGUGGUGCUCACCACCAAGUUCUCGCCCACCCACUGUCAGCUGGCCUCGGGCUGCCUCAGCGGCCGGGUGGCGCUCUACCAGCCCAAGUUCUAGCGGACCGCGCCCAGGCUUGCUCGCCCGGCACCCGAAUGAGGAAGCGAAGCCGUGUGGAUGGAAGCAGGGAACUUUGGUGGGGCGGCUAGCCGGACGGUUCAAUGUUGAAUCGAGAGCGGAGCGACCAAAGGAAGCAAAAGACGGACGUCGCUCGGGAUCGACAGUGCGGAACCCCGAAGUCAAACACCCCAAAAGCGGGACAAAUUGGAGUUCAAAGGAUCAUCAUGGCAGACGUUCGUUCACGCUCCAAGCCUGGGUUCCACUUUCGAGGCUGUCAAGACGGUGUUAAGGCUUCAAAUCAGAGUUUCUACGCAGUUCAAGUUUCAAAUUAGCGUUUCAAACCUUGUUAUGGUUUCGAGCCUGGGUUACACUUUCAGAAGUAGGGUUUCAAGACACUGUUGAGGUUUUAGACAAAGCUCAAUGAAAAAAAAUAGGGUUUCAAGACAGGGUUAAGUUUUGAAAGUAGGGUUUCAAACUGGCGUUCAGAUUUCAAAUCAGAGUGAGGGUUUUAAAUUAGUGUCAGGGUAAGUCUUAUCAAUUGAUUGAUUGGUUGGUUGACUUACUGCCGUGUCAUGAAUAAUUCCAGUAAGAGGUCCAUGUGGACUUUCCCAUUCUUGGGAAUCGUCACGUUUAUUUGUGCCUAAAAAGCAUUUUUAGAGUUUGAUGAUGCACCCCAACCAGCUGUGUGUGGAUCGGAUAUCUUUGUUGUGUGCAGCUUGUCUUGCCGCCAACGAUUUUCUCCGAAAUUCAGCCCACUUCCUGCCAAAAACAACCACGCCCACUCACCACUUAGAUAACACCCACGCUGGGAAUAUGAAAAUAUACAAAACAACGUUUCAUGUAUGCUGCUGCUGACAAUCAUAUAGGCAUCGCUAAAAUUCAAUCAAUUCAUCAAAUUUUAUUUAUAUAACACUUUUCAUACAUAGAAAAUGCAACCCAAAGUGCUUCACAGAGAUAACAACUAAUAAUUGUUAAAGAGCAAAAUUGGCAUUAUAUACAAUUCAUCUUUUCCCCACUUUUUUUUAGUAUUUUUACAUCCAAUAAUUUAUAUCUAAAUUGUUUUUUGUUUUUUCUCAUAUUUGUGUAUUAGUCAUCUAAUACUUUUAAUGUUGUAUAAGCGAUAUUAACAUUGUUAUAGUUGUGUAUUUUUCACAAAAUAUUGUCUAAUAUUUGUAACAUUUAACUAUUGUAAUAUUUGUUUUUUUCAUGUAAUGUCUAAUGUGUUAUUUACUAAUAUUUUUGUUGUUUAAAUAUGUUGUGUAAUAUUUUGCACAUGUAAUAUUGCCUAAUAUUUUGUAUUAACUCAUAUCUUUUAACAUAUUUAAUUACACAUUUUUACGUUUUAGUCGUUGUGUAUUUUUCAUUGAAUAUUUAUUUUUAUUGUAUCAUAAUGAAAUGAAAUCAUGACAUUGCUUUGAUGUCCAAGUCCUCGCUUUUAUAUCGUCCCAUAUCUCGUUUUUAUUUAUAUUUUUACAAAUUGUUGAACUUCUCGGUUGUUGUAUCUUCGUGUUAGAUUCGUAAAAAAAAAAAAAUACUUAAAAUUUUACAUUUUAAGUAUCUCCCAAUCUGAUUGGUUCAUUCCGCUGUGACGUUUACAGAAAGUGGCCACAGAGUCUUAAAUCAUCUCAUAUCUUCUUAUUUUAUUGUUGUUAUUAUUUUGUUAGAAAUGUCAUUUUACUAUCACAUUUGACUCGUUAUAUACGUGUACAUUCAUUUCCAAUACUUUAAUUUUAAUAAAGUCAAAGAUUCCCUCGA